UUGACCUCAAAUCAGGUAGGACUACCCGCUGAACUUAAGCAUAUCAAUAAGCGGAGGAAAAGAAACUAACAAGGAUUCCCCUAGUAACUGCGAGUGAAGCGGGAAAAGCUCAAAUUUAAAAUCUGGCAGAUUUUUGUCUGUCCGAGU
rnacentral:rRNA from 1 species